GGCGGUGCAUGGGGCAGUGAGGGGCCCGGGCCCGCGCGCUCCCUGCCGAGGGGACUCCGCGCCCGGCACCAGCCUCCGCCCGCGGAGCAGCCCCCGGAGCCCGGUCCGAAGUGCGGCGCGGCGGCGGCGGCAGCGGCGGGGCUAUGGAGCAGGAGAAAUAUCUGCCCGAGCUGAUGGCAGAGAAAGACAGCCUGGAUCCGUCCUUUGUUCACGCCAUGCGCCUCCUGGCUGAAGAAAUUGAAAAAUUUCAGAGUUCUGACGGGAAAAAGGAAGAUGAAGAGAAGAAAUACCUCGAUGUCAUCAGCAACAAAAACAUAAAGCUGUCAGAGAGAGUACUGAUCCCUGUCAAACAAUAUCCAAAGUUCAAUUUUGUUGGGAAAUUGCUUGGACCGCGAGGAAACUCCUUGAAGAGGUUGCAGGAAGAGACGGGUGCAAAAAUGUCUAUCCUGGGCAAAGGCUCUAUGAGGGACAAAGCUAAGGAAGAAGAGCUAAGGAAAAGUGGGGAAGCCAAGUAUGCACAUUUGAGUGAUGAGCUUCAUGUAUUAAUUGAAGUGUUUGCUCCACCUGGGGAAGCUUAUUCACGUAUGAGUCAUGCCUUGGAAGAAAUUAAAAAAUUCCUAGUUCCAGACUACAAUGAUGAAAUUCGUCAGGAACAAUUGAGAGAACUGUCAUAUUUGAAUGGUUCUGAAGAUUCGGCACGUGGACGGGGAAUUCGAGGAAGAGGAAUCCGUGUAGCACCUACAGCUUCUUCAAGGGGACGUGGAGGUGCAAUUCCUCCUCCCCCACCUGGACGAGGUGCCCAAGCACCUAGAGGGACACCAGUGACACGUGGAGCACUACCUGUGCCUCCUGUAGCCAGGGGUGUUCCUACCCCUCGAGCAAGGGGAGCUCCAGCUGUGCCAGGCUACAGACCACCCCCUCCUCCAGCACAUGAGGCCUAUGAAGAAUAUGGAUAUGAUGAUGGAUAUGGGGGUGAAUAUGAUGAUCCAAGCUAUGAGGCAUAUGAUAACAGUUAUGCCACCCAAACACAGAGUGUGCCUGAAUAUUAUGACUAUGGUCAUGGAACAAGUGAAGACGCUUAUGACAGCUACGCACAAGAAGAAUGGGCCACAACCCGUUCCAGCCUAAAGGCACCACCUCCAAGGUCAGCCAGAGGGGGUUACAGGGAACACCCCUAUGGUAGAUAUUGAAGGUCCUCCUCAUCUGUGACCUCAUCUCAAAGACAAUUAAUAGCCUGUGGUCUCCACAUAAACAGCAAUGAGACAAGGACUCACAGGCAAUGGACAACUAAGCAGCAGAUGAGAUGAGGAGUGUUUAGGUCUGAUCAGCAAUUUCAAGUCAGCUAAACUGAAGUUACACUGACCAUCUGUCUUACAGGUACAGAGCACUUCAUUAUGUGCACGAACAGAAAUGCUUAAACGGAUGAAGCAGCUAUUUGCGUCUGAUAGGAGCUAAGUGGGACAUUAAAUUAAUGCCAAACAAGUUCAGCAUCCUAAAGACUAAUCCAGAGGACAUUGAAAUCAGUGGGGAGCCUGUCAUUGACUUUGUUAGUUUUGGCUACUACUGAAUAUCGUGCAGUUAAGAUGCAGCUGAGAUCAGACUGAAUCACAAGUUGGUAAACAUUAAGAAUUAUUGCAAGAUUUGCCUUAAAUGUUCAAACGUAGGAAACCUAAUCCACUUAAGAAAACAAAUAAGACUAGGUAUGUGAGUAGUUUUAUUAAAGUCAAUGUGACCACUUAAUGUAUUUAGCUGAAUCCAGGCCUAAAGUUUUAAUUUUUUUUCACAGCCCUGAACUUACUGUCCUACCUUGCUACUGUCCCCAUUAGCUCUACAGGCAGGAAAUCAGACAGUUUUCUGUAGGAAAUGUACCAGUGUUUUAUCAAGAGUUCACUGUAACUUAUAUAUUUCCGUGAAACGUGUUGGUUUCCACAAAUCUUCGCUUUCCAACAAAAACCUCUUCUUUCAGAAAAUUCCUAACCAGAUUCAGUUACACAGAUAUCAGCCAAGCAGGUUUGGUUAAAAGAAUCAAAUUAAUCCUUUAGAGCAAAUUGUAAAUAAAAAAAAAUUUAAAACAAAACAAGUCGGUAUGAACAUGAACAUCGAUGCAUGGACUGUUCACAUUUUUUUCACACACUCUCAUUUUCACUGUGUGUCAGUACAGAAACAUGGAGUCCAGGAACCUUAAGAUUCCAUGUCAUGUAGAAAAAAAGGAACAUUUUUAAAAGUAACUCACACUGCUAUCCAGUGCAGCAUAUCUCUGUCAUGUUAUUUUCAAAGGAUAAAAAUCAUUAUUUUAGCCUGUGCAAAUAUAAUUUUCUCUUUCAUUUCUGUCCUCUUCCAAGCAAUCCAAAAUCCUAGGCAGCAUGAAAAAUACUCUGACCCAUAGCAGCAACAAUAACCUAUUUCCCUUUCAAAAUAUACUGAUAGAGCACUUUUAUGUGAUGACAUUUUAACCUGCGAAUAAAGCAAAAUGGUUACUGCUGUCAUUAAAUAAUGAACUGUGUAAAUUUCAGCUGUUGGGCAUGAAUUCAGUGCCUUCAAGAGUGAAAAGAGAUAUUUCCAAUGGUUAUGAUUUUUGAUGUUCAUACUCUGAAAUAAUCCAUACAAUAGUAUGUUCUGGGUAAAUCUAAUUUUUUUGCACCCUUACUCAUACCUAAAAGGUCUCAGGAAAUAAUAACAGUCUAUUUUAUUAUGACUUCAACCUUGAGGCUAGAAUUGGCUUCGUACAGUGCUAUAGUGUAGUAGUGCAUUUUAUCCUCAGUUUUAUUAUUUUACUUCCAAAUAUUUCAUGUGUUUCCUGACAGUUCAUGUUAAGUUACUCUAUUCCCACUGAACUGGAAAAAAAUCUGAAGUUGUUAUACAGAGAUAUCUCUCUAAAGGUAAUGUAAAAGCAGAUAGCAGUGUGUGUGUGUGUGUGUGUGUGUGUGUGUGUGCGUGCGCAUGUGUGCAAGCGUGCACAUCUGGUUGGGUGGGUUCUAGGAAAUGGAAAACAGAAUACACAUGCAUGAAAAAGUCUUAUUCUUCUGAAUAUUUAAGUUAUGUCUUGCAGAGGUAAAGAGUAUUCACACGUCCAGUUAAAUUCUAUGGGAAUACCUAUGCAACUGAAAGCAGGGCCUUUAAUAUUUUUUUCAUUGAUAUUCUCGGGGCCAGAUUCAGGCAAUCCACAACAAAGUCCCCAUAUUGAAUAACUCCACCUGCAUAUGCUCGUGCCAUUUGCCAAUGCCCAAUUUAAGUGGAAGGUGGCAGGACUCACCAUUCUUUAAUGAAAACCAAGGGUGUUGCAAAAGUCCUUGCUAAGGUCACUUUGGAGAGGCCAGGUUAUACCUAGGGACCUACCUAAAUCACAAUUUCACAGAUUUCAUGGAAACCAGGAAAAACAGCAUUGUCCACACUUUCCUGCGAAAUCAAAAAAAGGGAGUAGUAAUGUAGACUGAAUGAAGGCACCCUCUGCCAAUCAGUGGCAAGAGGCAGGGCUGCUGGGGUCACUCCACCAAUCAUUGGUGAGGGACAUGUCUGCCAUGAAAUUCCUGUGAAAUUGGCUUUGUGUGCCGUGAAUGGGCCAUGAGAAACCCUGUGACUUAGGUGGGUCCCUAGUUAUACCUACUUCCUGCAUUUACUCUACGUACAGAACCCUGCUUUCCAUCAGUCCAUUCAUAGCGUCUGAUGAAGUAGGCUGUCACCUGUAAAGGUUAAGCCUCUCUGAACUAGGUAGUCUCUAAGGUGCCAACCUGCUUUGCUUUCUGCCUGACUCUAGACUAACAAGAGCUAACUGUCUAGAAACAGGGUGCAUUUACACACACAAUUAGCAUGUGACAAUAAACUCCAGCACAGUUUGCACUGGAGUUCAUUGCUCCUGGUUGCAGCAUUUACACAUGUGCUGGGGACCACAGCAUGUUGAGCUGGGGCACAGCAUCCCUGGCUGGCAGAGGCCUGGGUGGUCAGUAUGCCAGCCCAGAGCUGUUCCACCCAGCUCAACGUGCUGUGGAGGAACUGGCUUGGACACAAAGGUGGUUCGGUGUGGAGCUGGCAGGAAUCCCCUACACUAUAGCAUCCUCAUGCCCCAGCCAGCCCCAGUCAUCAUCUACAUUACAAUCCAUUCAUCUAGCCCACACUUUCUUAGCUUGCCUGUGAGAAUGUCGUGGGAGACCAUAUCAAAAGCCUUGCUAAAAUCAAGGUACAACACAUGCACCAGUCUCCCCGCAUCCACAGAGUCAGUCACCUCAUCGUAGAAGGCAUAUUGGUCAAGCUUGACUUGCCCUUGUGAACCCCUGCUGACUGUUUCUAACCAUGUUUUUCUCCUCCAAAUGUUUCAUAGUGGAUUCCUUGAGGAUGUGCUCCAUGAUUUUUCCAGGGACUGAAGUAAGGCUGACUAGUCUGUAGUUCCUUGAAACCUGCUUUUUCACUUUCUUAAAUAUGGGCACUGUGUUUGCCCUUUCCUAAUCAUCUGGGACCUCUCCUCAUCACAAUGAGUUUUCAAAGAUGAUGGCUAGUGAUUCUGCAAUCACAUCAGCCAACUCCCUCAGCACCCUUGGGUGCAUCCCAUCCAGCCCCAUGGACUUGUACAUGUCCAGCUUUUCUAAAUAGUCCCUAGCCUGUUCUUUCACUAAUGAGGGCUUCUUAUCUCCUCCCCAAACUGUGCUGCCCAAUGCAGUAGUCUGGGAGCUGACUUUGUGAAGACUGAAGUGAAAAAGUCAUUAAGGACUUCAGCCUUUUAUGCAUCCUCUGUCACAAGGUUGCCUCCCCCAUUUAGUAACGGACCCACACUUUCCCUGAUCCUCCUCUUGCUACCGACAUACUUAUAGAAACCUUCUUGUUCCCCUUCACAUCCCUUGCUAGUUGCAACUCCAGUUGCACUUUGGCCUUCCUGACUUCAUCCCUACAUGCCUAAGCAGUACUCUUAUACUCCUCCCUGGUUAUUUGUCCAAGUUUCCACUUCUUAUAAGCUUCCUUUUUUGUGACUUAGUUUACUGAAGAUUUCCUGCUAAGCCACGCUGGUCCACCACCAUACUUGCUAGUCUUCCUGCACAUCAGGGUGGUUUGUUCCUGCAUUCUCAGUAAGGCUUCUUUGAAGUACAGUCUGCUCUCCUGGACUCCUUUCCCCCUCCACUCCCCAAAAAGUUCCUGGAUUGCCUGCACACUGGUAUAUUGCCCUCCCAGCAAAUGUCAGGGCGAUUGAAGUCCCCCUUGAGAACCAGGGCCUGUGAUUGGGAAACUUCGGCUAACUGUUUGAAGAAAGCCUCAUUCAUCACUUCCUCCUUGUCUGGUGGUCUAUAACAGACCCCCACCAUGACAUCGCCCUUCUUGCUCUCCCCUCUGUCCCUAACCCAGACACUCUCAACAGGCCUAUCUCCAGCAUACUGGAGCUUUGAAUAAUCAUAUGGCUCUUUUACAUAAAGUACAACUCCUCUUCUCACCUGCCUAUCCUUCCUGAACAGUUUGUACCCAUCCAUGACAAUGCUCCAGUCAUGCGAGCUCCCACCAAGUCUCUGUUAUUCCAGUCGCCUCAUAGUGCCAUGACUAUGCAAGGACUUCCAAUUCUUCCUGCUUGUUUCCCAGGGUCUGUGCAUUUGUGUACAUUCCUAAAAUACAUUUAGGAAGUCUUUUAAGGAUUAUCAGCUUUCAUUUUUAUUUGCUGCAAACUGUGAAUAUUAAAUACAGCUGCAUUUAUGAGGUGAAGGCAAUAUACAGAAUAAAGAAUCUGAUUGGAUACAUUAAUCUACCCGGUAAUUUAAAGUCAUCCAAGCCUAUUUAGCCAUCAUUGUAUAACCUAACUAGUUAUACAUACAUACAUAUCACUUUGACAGUGUAGCUACAUUAAAUGAUAACCUGCAGGUACUGAAAGGCUCAACUUUUUUAAAUUUAUGGCACUGGCAAUGUAUUGCUUCAUUGCUUAGGAAAACCAAAGGAAAUUUGCAUAGAAUAAAACUAUCUACUAGACUAUAGUGACUAGAGAAUAGUAAUUUCUUUGGAGAGAAACAAUAAGUGAUAUUUAGAAAAUCAGUUCUGAAGAAACCAGCCUGACAUUUAUCAUCAAAUAACAAAAAAAAAAAGAUAUGGAAAAGACUUGUUUAGGCAUCUUAAGUGUAGUAGUGUAAUAUUAGAUAGUCCCUCACAGAACAUACUCUCCAGUGUUUUGUCAAUGUGCAUUUUAAAUGUAUCAAGGAGAGAGUCUUUGCUAUUAUACUUUUAGAAAAAUGACAAAUCCUUGCUGAGUGCACAGGAUCUUUUCAAAAUGUAUUAGAGUUAACAAAAAUAGUGAAAAUUCACCAGCCUUUUUCUUUCCAGUUAAAUUCAGGAGUUAUGUAUUUUCUAGGUAAAAGAAGUUUUAGACAUACAACAUCUAAAAGCUAAGUAGGUACUAUUAUGCUUUUCCUCUCCUUUCCUUAAUCCAUCUGUUGGUAUUUGUUUUUCUUCUCUGCUCCUUUUUCAUAGUGCCUCAUAAGUAGAAUGCAAAGCCAAAAAGAGCUUAAGUUUGAGUGGGUUUAAAAUUAGUCAAAAUGAGCAUGGCAAAAUGAUGGUUGUUUAUAGAAUGUGUGCGUGUAACUCCCCACAUAGGAUUUUGAAGAUAUGCUACCUCGUUCUGAUUAGAGGAAGAACCAUAUGGCUCUCUUAUAUGACUGGCUGGUUUAGAGUGGUUCAGAACAAAAUGUUUGUGAACUUUAAGCAGGCUCAGGUUAGUCAUCUAGAUAGACACAAAAGUAGCAGUGAAGAUGCAUAUGACUGCAGAAUUACAAUCUUUCCUACUUACUGUCCUUUUAGGAAAUGCAUAAGGAAGAUUCCAAUGGAUCAAAAAACAAACUUUUUUUCAUAAAAUAAAAAUAUAUGUAACCAUUCCUGGAUACAUUAAGAAGUUUUCCUUAUCAUUCAAGAGAAAAAAUGAGGUUAGUGUAAUCAAGAAAAAAAUGUAAUGACCAGCAUAUCAAAUCACAACCUUGGGAAACGGUCAAAAUUGGAUAUGUUACAUCCUUAUUAUCCUCAAUAUCCUGGCUACAUUUUUUCCAUGAAAAAGUUUGAAAACAGGAACUGAAAACUGCAAAAUUAUGUUUUUGUCUCAUGACAAGGAUUGUAACAAAAUUAUGAAAUUAUUAUUAUACCAAAUAAAUAUUUUUCUGUUAUAA